AUGCGGAGGGUGCAAGCGUUAAUCGGAAUUACUGGGCGUAAAGCGUACGUAGGCGGUUCGUUAAGUUAGAUGUGAAAGCCCCGGGCUUAACCUGGGAACUGCAUUUAAAACUGGCGGACUAGAGUUGAGUAGAGGGGAGUGGAAUUUCAGGUGUAGCGGUGAAAUGCGUAGAGAUCUGAAGGAACACCAGUGGCGAAGGCGACUCCCUGGACUCGAACUGACGCUGAGGUACGAAAGCGUGGGUAGCAAACGGGAUUAGAUACCCCGGUAGUCC
rnacentral:rRNA from 1 species